ACUGUAAUAGCUUAAAUUAGAGUGUAAUAUUGAAGAUAUUAAGGUGAAUUUUAUUCUUGCAGUA
rnacentral:tRNA from 1 species